rnacentral:rRNA from 1 species
GAUGAACGCUAGCGGCAGGCCUAAUACAUGCAAGUCGAACGGCAAGAUUUGGUAGCAAUACUGAAUCCUAGAGUGGCGCACGGGUGAGUAACGCGUACAUGACAUACCUAUAAGCGAGGGAUAGCAUUGGGAAACUGGUAGUAACCCCUCAUGUGAUUAUUUGUAAUAAAGGUAAAUAAUUAAAACUACGGUGCUUAUAGAUUGGUGUGCGUCUGAUUAGCUAGUUGGCGAGGUAACGGCUCACCAAGGCGACGAUCAGUAGGGGGCGUGAGAGCGUGAACCCCCACACGGGUACUGAGACACGGACCCGACUCCUACGGGAGGCAGCAGUAAGGAAUAUUGGUCAAUGGAGGGAACUCUGAACCAGCCAUGCCGCGUGCAGGAUGAAAGCCCUCUGGGUUGUAAACUGCUUUUAACAGGGAAGAAAUGCUAUACGCGAUAUAGUACUGACGGUACCUGAGGAAUAAGCACCGGCUAACUCCGUGCCAGCAGCCGCGGUAAU